GACGAACGCUGGCGGCGUGCCUAACACAUGCAAGUCGAACGGACGAGGGGAGCUUGCUCCCUGAGUUAGUGGCGAACGGGUGAGUAACGCGUGAGAAACCUGCCUUUCAGUGGGGGACAACAGUUGGAAACGACUGCUAAUACCGCAUGACACUGUAGCACCGCAUGGUGCAUCAGUCAAAGCUUUAUGUGCUGAAAGAUGGUCUCGCGUCUGAUUAGCUAGUUGGUGGGGUAACGGCCCACCAAGGCGACGAUCAGUAGCCGGUCUGAGAGGAUGAACGGCCACAUUGGGACUGAGAUACGGCCCAGACUCCUACGGGAGGCAGCAGUUGGGGAAUAUUGGGCAAUGGGGGAAACCCUGACCCAGCAGCGCCGCGUGAAGGAAGAAGGCCCUCGGGUUGUAAACUUCUUUUACCAGGGACGAAGGACGUGACGGUACCUGGAGAAAAAGCAACGGCUAACUACGUG
rnacentral:rRNA from 1 species